AUGGCGACCGGGCUAGGAGUCGCCGCGAAGGCCGUGCUGCUGGUGCUAGCGCCGGUGGUGAUCUCCGUGGCGCUCUACAGCCCCAAGGACUUCUCUCCGGCGGAGCUGCCACCCGAGCACAGCUUCGGCGCUGACGUGUCCGCGCCGCGGCACGACGCCCGCGUGCUGGCCGCGAGCGAGCGGAUCGGGGAGGGGCUGCUCCCGGGCCCCGAGGACCUGGCGUACGACGCCGCCGGCGGGUGGCUGUACACGGGGUGCGCCGACGGGUGGGUCCGCCGGGUGAGCGUGCCUGGCGGGGACGUGGAGGGCUGGGCCUACACCGGCGGCCGGCCGCUCGGCGUCGUGCUCGCGGGCGACGGCGGCAUCGUCGUGGCGGACGCGGAUAAGGGUUUGCUGAAGGUUAGGCAGGACAAGACGGUGGAGCUGCUGACGGACGCGGCGGAGGGCCUCAAGUUCGCCCUGACGGACGGCGUGGACAUCGCCGCCGACGGCACCAUCUACUUCACCGACGCCUCGUACAAGUACAGCCUCGCUCACCACUUUCUGGACGUGCUCGAGGCACGGCCCCACGGCCGGCUCAUGAGCUUCGACCCCUCCACGCACCGGACCUCCGUGCUCGCGCGCGACCUCUACUUCGCCAACGGCGUCGCCGUCGCGCCGGACCAGGACUCGCUCAUCUUCUGUGAGACGGUCAUGAGGAGGUGCUCGAGGUAUCACAUCAGGGGCGACAAGGCAGGCACGGUGGAGAGCUUCAUCGACAGCCUGCCGGGGCUCCCGGACAACAUCCGAUACGACGGCGAGGGCCGGUACUGGAUCGCGCUCUCGGCGGGGAGGACGCUGCAGUUGGACGUGUUGAUGUGGUCGCCCUUGCUGCGGAAGCUCGUGUACAUGGUGGAGAAGUACGUGAUGGCGGUGCCGCAGGGCCUGAGGGACGCGGGGACGAUGAGCGUGGCUCUCAACGGGGAGCCGGUGACCAUGUACACUGACCCGGGACUCGCGCUCGCCACCGGCUGGCUCAAGGUCGGGGGCUACCUCUACUACGGGUCGCUGGCAAGCUCGUACAUCAGCAGGGUCGACCUCACCAAAUCAUCCAUCGAAGCCUAG
rnacentral:rRNA from 1 species